ACCUCCUCCAUGGAACUUCUGUUGUCAUCCAGUGGCUGAAAUCAACUGGAAGCCUACAGGGAAAGACCUGCCUCCUGGGACACAGAGCAGCUGUUGAUAUCGAUGGAAUUCCUGACCAGUAACAUUUCCAUGAAGAUCAUUACAAUUUAUUUCUUGAAAUUCUGGGAAGGCAUGGAAACAUCACAUUGCAGCAGAUGCUGGGGAUGCAGCAAUGAACAAGACAGGCCAGAUCCCUACUCUCAGAUAAACACAAUGAUCCAGGUCAGUAGGCAUUUGGUAGGAAUCUGCAUCAAACUGUUGGGCAAUGGUAGACAGCAACAUUGACGUCUGUAAAUUUACACUUGGAUUCUUAGUUUCUGGUUGGCUGCAUCCUUCUUCUGAAGGCCACUGCUCUUUUCAGAAGACCUCCCUAGAUGGCUAAGCUCUCUGGGUUGCAACAGUUGCUCUUUUUCCUUGAGCCUUAGGUUAGGGAGUUGGGAGGAAGUAAUGGCUUCCCCCACUGCUAGCUCCAGGGUGCUACACUUUCUCUUUUCUAGUUUCCCUAAUCUGGCUUACACCAUUAUAAAUAGACCCUUUAUUAAAAUAUCCUCAAUUUAUCCAUA
ensembl:lncRNA novel transcript